rnacentral:tRNA from 7 species
UUGCCCAUUCGCCAAAUGGUAAGGCACCUGCCUCUGGAGCAGGCAUUUGUUGGUUCGAAUCCAGCAUGGGCAGCCAA